CCAAUAGCGUAUAUUAAAGUUGUUGCAGUUAAAAAGCUCGUAGUUGAAUUUCAGGCCUGGCUGGACGGUCCGCCCUUCGGGUGAGUACUGUCUGUGGUCGGGUCCUACCUUCUGGCGAAGCGUCAUGGCCUUAACCGGCCGUGGCGGGGAACCAGGACUUUUACUGUGAAAAAAUUAGAGUGUUCAAAGCAGGCAAUCGCUUGGAUACAUUAGCAUGGAAUAAUGGAAUAGGACAAUGGUUCUAUUUGUUGGUUUCUAGGACCGUUGUAAUGAUUAAUAGGGAUAGUUGGGGGCAUUAGUAUUCAAUUGUCAGAGGUGAAAUUCUUGGAUUUAUUGAAGACUAACUACUGCGAAAGCAUUUGCCAAGGAUGUUUUCAUUAAUCAAGAACGAAAGUUAGGGGAUCGAAGACGAUCAGAUACCGUCGUAGUCUUAACCAUAAACUAUGCCGACUAGGGAUCGGAUGAUGUUAAUUUUUUAAUGACUCAUUCGGCGCCUUACG
rnacentral:rRNA from 2 species